CGGGGUGCACAGCCUGGCCUCGAAGGCGGCAGGUUCCGACAUGAGUAAAUGAGAAGUUUUGUGUAUCUCGGCACCCGCAGCACCCUAAGCCAGCCGAAGGGAUACAGCAGUGCUCCUGCGGGUGCUAAGGGUCGGGUUCCCUCCCCAGCUCUGGUGCCCGGCACUGACCUGUUGGAGAGCAGCGUUAGGGAAAGGGAUCUGCGCGUCCGGGGGGGCAGCAGGCGCACCGCGAGCCAGCAGAGCGCACCUGUGGCCAAGAAACCCGAGGGCCUUCUGGGAUGCGUUAGAAGGGCUGUAGCUGCUAGGUCCAGAGAGGUUCUCUUCCCGCUCUACUCUGCCCCGGUGAGGCCACGUCUAGAAUAUUCUCUCCUGUUCUGGGCCUCUCCUAUUAAGAAGAACCUGGUUGGAAGAGUCCACUUCAGCCCCACAAAGCUGGUGUCACCCACCCCAGUCACAGGCUGAUGGCACAGGUUAAAGGAGCACAAGAAUUAGAGGGGUGGCUACUUUUGCACAAACGAACGAGACAAAGACAUUAAGUGUUAGCAAAAGGCGAUUCAGACACCCCUCUGUGCGUGCAAAAUAGAUCCACUGUGAACGAGACCCAGGUGUUACAAAUCAGCAUUAAUGCAAAAUAAAAAGGUCACUGAUGGCUGCAGACAGCUGGAGACCUAGAGGGGGAAAAGCAACCGUGGCAUUUAAUUUGUAAAACUUGUUAGCCACGAAGCCAAACCCAGCAAAUAAAAUAGUUCAUCAGAUCAAAUUCUGAAGGCCCUCAGAGAAGAAAGGAUGAAAUGCGUGAAAGCAAGACAGAAGCUGAAGAAAUGGCCACCGACAC